rnacentral:rRNA from 1 species
AGCGAACGCUGGCGGCAGGCCUAACACAUGCAAGUCGAACGCGUGUAGCAAUACACGAGUGGCAGACGGGUGAGUAACACGUGGGAACGUACCUUUCGGUUCGGAAUAACUCAGGGAAACUUGUGCUAAUACCGGAUACGCCUUUACGGGGAAAGAUUUAUCGCCGAAAGAUCGGCCCGCGUCUGAUUAGCUUGUUGGUGAGGUAACGGCUCACCAAGGCGACGAUCAGUAGCUGGUCNGAGAGGAUGAUCAGCCACA